GAUGUCAUGAAAGCGAGCACAAUGCGCUGCCGAAAUGACGGGAAUGCUCAUCUCCUUCUUUAGAGGUGAAGCAGAGCGGAACGUGGCAGCGGUCACGGACCCCAGUGUGUUGUGGGGCAGCGAAAACGCCAGAUGAUCUAUUCACGGCAUUGAAAGCUCCACCCAUCGGGAGAGGCAAGAAAAGUGGCAAGAAAAACGAAUGAAGACGAGGAAAUCGACAUGACGUGAAUUAGGCAAACGGGCUGUCCUUGCUCCUCCAAAUGCACAAAGGACAUCAGGAAUCUCAAACCCUGUCCUGGACAGCUGUCUGAUUUUAGCAUUUCACCACAAAAGUAUUUAACUCAAGUUACUAAUCAGCGGAACGGUUCACACAGCAGACUGAAAGGAAAUGAGAAAAGGAUGGAGUUUUAGAUGUGUGCUGAUGUGCUACCUUACUGUGAAGGCUCACCUGAAGGAAUCAGCAGAGUUUGCCCCUGUUUCAGGGUGCACUUGUAACACUUGUCCACCUGGUCGGCGAAGAACAUCUCGCUGUGAUUGGACGAGGACCUCCAGCGCUCGUACAGGGCUAGGUUGGCAGACGUGGGCUUGAUUAAGAAGAAGAUCUUCUCUCCCUGAAAUGAGCACGUCAUAAUUACACAAGUGUGCCAUUUCUGGCUGUACAUUUGUUCCUCUUUCCGCCCCAAAUAAACAUUUACACUAUAGGUCAGCAGUGCUUUCACAUCCUCAUAGGGAAAAUCGAUAGGUUUCACGCCACUUUUUUGGGGGAUCAAAUGUUUUUUUUUAAUUCAGCAAAAAUUCUCAAA